GGCCCCAUCGUCUAGCGGCCGAAGGACGCCGACCCUCUCAAGGUGGAGAUUCGCGGGUUCGAAUCCCGCUUGGGGUCACCA
rnacentral:tRNA from 1 species